UCCACGGGAGCGGUGGCGCACGCCUGUAGUCCCAACUACUCGGGAGGCUGAGACAGGAGGAUGGCUUGAGUCCAAGAGUACUGGGCUGUAGUGCUCUAAGCCGAUCGGGUGUCCGCACUAAGUUCCGCAUCAAUAUGGGGACCUCCCGGGAGCGGGGAGGGGGGGGGACCAGGUUGCCUAAGGAGGGGUGAACUGGCCCAGGUCGGAAACGGAGCAGGUCAAAUGUCCUGUGCUGAUCAAUAAUGUACCAUCAUUCAAUGACCAAUGACAGUACUCAUUUGGGACAUAAGUCUUAUAGACAUUUCUUU
ensembl:misc_RNA Metazoa_SRP Metazoan signal recognition particle RNA